GUUGAACGCUGGCGGCGUGCCUAAUACAUGCAAGUCGAGCGAACGGACGAGAAGCUUGCUUCUCUGAUGUUAGCGGCGGACGGGUGAGUAACACGUGGAUAACCUACCUAUAAGACUGGGAUAACUUCGGGAAACCGGAGCUAAUACCGGAUAAUAUUUUGAACCGCAUGGUUCAAAAGUGAAAGACGGUCUUGCUGUCACUUAUAGAUGGAUCCGCGCUGCAUUAGCUAGUUGGUAAGGUAACGGCUUACCAAGGCAACGAUGCAUAGCCGACCUGAGAGGGUGAUCGGCCACACUGGAACUGAGACACGGUCCAGACUCCUACGGGAGGCAGCAGUAGGGAAUCUUCCGCAAUGGGCGAAAGCCUGACGGAGCAACGCCGCGUGAGUGAUGAAGGUCUUCGGAUCGUAAAACUCUGUUAUUAGGGAAGAACAUAUGUGUAAGUAACUGUGCACAUCUUGACGGUACCUAAUCAGAAAGCCACGGCUGACUACGUGCCAGCAGCCGCGGUAAUACGUAGGUGGCAAGCGUUAUCCGGAAUUAUUGGGCGUAAAGCGCGCGUAGGCGGUUUUUUAAGUCUGAUGUGAAAGCCCACGGCUCAACCGUGGAGGGUCAUUGGAAACUGGAAAACUUGAGUGCAGAAGAGGAAAGUGGAAUUCCAUGUGUAGCGGUGAAAUGCGCAGAGAUAUGGAGGAACACCAGUGGCGAAGGCGACUUUCUGGUCUGUAACUGACGCUGAUGUGCGAAAGCGUGGGGAUCAAACAGGAUUAGAUACCCUGGUAGUCCACGCCGUAAACGAUGAGUGCUAAGUGUUAGGGGGUUUCCGCCCCUUAGUGCUGCAGCUAACGCAUUAAGCACUCCGCCUGGGGAGUACGACCGCAAGGUUGAAACUCAAAGGAAUUGACGGGGACCCGCACAAGCGGUGGAGCAUGUGGUUUAAUUCGAAGCAACGCGAAGAACCUUACCAAAUCUUGACAUCCUUUGACAACUCUAGAGAUAGAGCCUUCCCCUUCGGGGGACAAAGUGACAGGUGGUGCAUGGUUGUCGUCAGCUCGUGUCGUGAGAUGUUGGGUUAAGUCCCGCAACGAGCGCAACCCUUAAGCUUAGUUGCCAUCAUUAAGUUGGGCACUCUAAGUUGACUGCCGGUGACAAACCGGAGGAAGGUGGGGAUGACGUCAAAUCAUCAUGCCCCUUAUGAUUUGGGCUACACACGUGCUACAAUGGACAAUACAAAGGGCAGCGAAACCGCGAGGUCAAGCAAAUCCCAUAAAGUUGUUCUCAGUUCGGAUUGUAGUCUGCAACUCGACUACAUGAAGCUGGAAUCGCUAGUAAUCGUAGAUCAGCAUGCUACGGGGGUGCGUUCCCGGGUCU
rnacentral:rRNA from 1 species